rnacentral:rRNA from 1 species
CCUACGGGAGGCAGCAGUGGGGAAUUUUGGACAAUGGGCGAAAGCCUGAUCCAGCCAUUCCGCGUGCAGGACGAAGGCCUUCGGGUUGUAAACUGCUUUUGUACGGAACGAAAAGGUUUCAGCUAAUACCUGGGACUCAUGACGGUACCGUAAGAAUAAGCACCGGCUAACUACGUGCCAGCAGCCGCGGUAAUACGUAGGGUGCGAGCGUUAAUCGGAAUUACUGGGCGUAAAGCGUGCGCAGGCGGUCUUGUAAGACAGAUGUGAAAUCCCCGGGCUCAACCUGGGAACUGCAUUUGUGACUGCAAGGCUAGAGUGCGGCAGAGGGGGAUGGAAUUCCGCGUGUAGCAGUGAAAUGCGUAGAUAUGCGGAGGAACACCGAUGGCGAAGGCAAUCCCCUGGGCCUGCACUGACGCUCAUGCACGAAAGCGUGGGGAGCAAACAGGAUUAGAUACCCUGGUAGUCCACGCCCUAAACGAUGUCAACUGGUUGUUGGGUCUUCACUGACUCAGUAACGAAGCUAACGCGUGAAGUUGACCGCCUGGGGAGUACGGCCGCAAGGUUGAAACUCAAAUGAAUUGACGGCUGAGACGNGCGAGCGACGACGAGGGAGAGG